rnacentral:rRNA from 1 species
UACGAGGGGGGCAAGCGUUGUUCGGAAUUAUUGGGCGUAAAGGGUGCGUAGGCGGUGCGGUAAGUCUGUUGUGAAAUCUCCGGGCUCAACUCGGAGUCUGCAUCAGAAACUGCCGUGCUGGAGUGUGGGAGAGGUGAGUGGAAUUCCCGGUGUAGCGGUGAAAUGCGUAGAGAUCGGGAGGAACACCUGCGGCGAAAGCGGCUCACUGGACCAUAACUGACGCUGAUGCACGAAAGCUAGGGGGAGCAAACAGG